GGCUGCCGGCUCUGGCUCCGUGGCUUCUGCUGGGAGGCUCAGGUGCCCCCGUGCCUGAAUCUUCUAGAGUUUUUAGGAAAACAGGUUUUGGAGGAGGAAGUACAUCUGGGGCUGGGCUCUGGGGUCAGACACCCCUGGGUUCAGCCCCAGCCCUACCUCUCGGUGGCUGUGUCCUUGGUGGUACAGCCAGCCCUUUAACCUCGGUUUUCCCGUCUCUGAAGUGGGCAACAACAGUGCCUACAUCCCUUGGUCGUUCCAGGGUCCAGCUCCCUGGCACUGAGCCCAAUCUUUGAGGGAAAGUUGGCCAUGGAGACAAAGCAUCCAGCGUUGGUCUGAGGUCCCAGCUCCUGGCACUGGGCAGUGUGAUUAGGCCAGCUCCCUCGCGAUGGCAGAGUCUCGGCUACUGAGUCCAGACUGUCCCAGAAGAGUUAAUUCUCUCCCUCACUCAGGCCAUCAGAGACCCAGCAGGGGAACCAGCUCAGGACACAUGGUAACACGGAAAUUAAAAUAACAACUAUCAGAGAACCCAGCCCACGAUGGCUUCACAGCAGGGAUUCAUCAUCUUCCAAAGAGAAGUCUGGAGGCUGGCAAUGGCUGCAGUCCAUUCUGGUGCCCAGUGCUUCUGCCAGUGGCCCGGGAUCUGUCUGGCUUUCUUCUCGGCUUUCUUAGAAUGCUGUUCUCCAAGCCCCUUGCCUCUCCCUCUACUGCCGUGCUUGUUGCCACAUGGUCCCAAAGUGGCUGCCACAGCUCCAGGCAAUGCAUUAAUGUCCAUGGCAGAAAAAAUGGUAAAGGAAUAUCACCAGCAAAUGCCCCUUUUAUAUCUGACCUUAUAAUGGGGAAGGAAACCCCAGCCACACCUCUAACCUCCAAGCUCAUGACCAUGCAUUCACUCUUGGUUUCUCUGUUAUAAACAGGUCACCUGUAGCUAAAGGGAGGCUGGGGAAGUGAGUGCCUGGCUUUGUUACCUUUGAAGUGGGAGGUGGGCCAGCAGGAGUGAUUUGGGAGCAGCUACUGGCUGGCUAGUGAAGCCCAGGUCUUCCUGUCUGUGUUCUGACUUCUACUGCUGGAAUUUCCAGUGACAUGUUAUCUGGAGCUGAAUUGCUCUCCAGCGUCUCCCUUGAAGGCUAUUAGACCACGUGCGCAAGAGGAAAUUCAAAAUACCAUGCUUUGAGAUGUCUACCCAGAUUGGACAUGAGGUGGAGGGAUGCAGAUGAGAAACCCAGCAUCAGGGUUUUCUCGGGGCUCGACAAGAAUAGAGCAAUUAGUUACAAGGAAACUUCUGAAGGAGUCUUCGGUGGAAAGCCUUCGCUCUCCUAGAAUAUUUCCCUCCAGACAGGUGACCUUGUAAGAAGAGGACAGAGACCCACAUAGAGGGGCAGCCACAUGAGGACCCAGGGGAAAGGUGGUCUCUGCAAGGUAAGGGGAGAGGCCUCAGGAGAAACUCACUCUCAGAUAUGUUGACCUUGGGUGUCCAGCCUUCAGAACCACAAGAGGUAAAUCUCUGUUGUUUAAUCUGUGGUGCUGGGUUCUGCAGCCUGAGCUGACUGGUGCAAGGAGGAAGACAUCCCAGCAGCCAGGGCCCUCCUCCUGACCCCUUGUGGUUUCCUUGUAUCCUGUUGUUCAAGUGCAGGAGGUCCCAGGCCUCAGCCUGCUUAAAAGGCUAAAAGCAUUUAUCAACCUGACCUUAAACUGCACAAGUUUUUCUCUAGAUCUCUUUUCCAUGGAGCCCCUUCCUAAGCACACUUUGUUAUAGGAACAGGAAUAUUAAGAAAGUCCCAAAGCUGGAGAUGAACUUCAUACCCAGCAAGGGGAAGGGGACAUUGC